GGAACCGAAGUAUGCACAGCCUCUUUAUUGCUAGAACCGCUAUAAUUUAAUAUUGAGCUAAUAAUUUGAGUUAAUAUUUAUAAAGCACUUAGAAAGAGCCCAGCACAUAGUAAUAGCUAUCUAAGUUUUCAUUGAAUAAAUAAGGCACUUUCCAGAUUGGUUGGGUGAAUUCUUAACCUAGUGACAAAAUACAGAAUCAAAAUACACAGCAAUCUAAAUUUUUUUUUACCUUGAUAAAGAUUUAGGAACUGUAGUGCUCUGUAUUUAUUCCCACAUUUCAAGUGUACCCUAUAUAGUCUCUUGUGCAGGUCUAAAAUUAUACUCAUGGUUCAGAAAUCAAUGUGCACAAUUAAAUAAUGAAAGAGUUCAAGUUUCAAGAGAUGAAUUCUCUUUCCUCUCUCUCCAAGUAACCACCACUAAAAAUGACAAACUCUAAAAAUCUCAAAGCACUCCUAGAUGUACAGCCGAAUGCUAAAAGUGUGGGAAUAAACAGAGACAAAUUCACUUGAAAAGAGACGGAAAGGGUUCAAAUCACAAGAGAACUUAAGGGAUAGCAAUGGCAUUAAAGUCUCAAGACACCAGGUCCGCUGACAACAGGUUGAUUCCCGUGCCCUCCACUCCCGAGGCCUCCUCCAUCCCUGAUCCUCGCAGGUGACCCGCAGCCACUUUCGACCUCAGGUUGGGGUCUCCCUCCCUCCCCGUUCCCAGCUCCUCUUCGCUCUGAAGGUGCGCACGGGUUAACACUGUCGGUCCACCGACACCACUCGGGCGUUUAGGAAUCAAAAAGCAGAAUCUGAAUCCACCACGGGGAGACAAAGACCACAAACUCUGAGUCGGGUGCUGAGGCGAGGGUAUUGCUUUUCCCCUUCCGACCAACUCGGAGGUUUCCGGGCGGAGGUGCGGAGAGCUGCCAGGGGACCCGGGAAAGUCACGUUUGCUCCGUGGAGCGGCGGCAGUCGAGGCCCGUGACCCCCCGCCGCGCCCCAUCUCACCCGCCCGGGGACCUCGGGCUGCGGUCCGGACGCGCGCGGCCCCUGCCGCCCGCCCCCGCCGUGGGUCGCCGCGGCCCCACACCUACCCGGCUCCGCGGGGCUCCUCCCGGCGCGGCGGGCGCGGAGCCGAGCGCACCCGCGCUUCCUCCUUCCCGGCAGGGCCGCCGGGCGCCGGCGUUUCCUCCCUGACGCGUCACGGCGGCAGGCGGCUCCUCCCGCGGAGGGCGCGGGCGGCCCGGAGACCGGCGGCGGGCAGUGCGCGGGGAAGGCGCCCGCCGCGGAAGCCGGCUGUCCGGCCUCUUCCCGGGGGACCCCUCCGAUCCCGGGCCGCAGCGCGAAGGCCGGCCCGCCUCUCCGUGUGCGCGAAGCUCAGGGACGCCGGGGGUCCUGUCUGGAGGCUCAGACUCCCCGGCGUUUCGCGCUGCUCAGUGUUAGCGACCUCUGCCCGGGGCCCGAGAGCCGCUUGGGCCAAGGCGCCCGGGGCCGGCCAGUGAAGACGACCCUGGUGUGGGCAAGGAGCAGGAGCGCUGGACCGCCGGAGGGAUCAGCGUCGCCCGAGGAAUGGCCUGGCGGACAUGUGGCUGGGGGUCACCUGGAAACUCAAGAGAAGUGAAAUAAAUUUUGAGGCAAUUGUCUGCUGUACACCAUCUGAUUCCAGAGAAUUUGCUACAAAUCUAUGAACAAGUAAACUUCCAGAGAUGAAAUGCCCAGUAGGAGACAUGGACCUCUAUAAAGGAUUGGUUAGCAUGAUAUAGUGGAUCAACGGAUGCUGUAGCCAUGUUGUUUUUGUUUCUGUUUGAAUAACUGGGCUCUGACCCUAAUGAGCUGCAUGACUUGGAGCAAGUUAUUCAACAUCUUUGCACCUCUUCUUCCUCAUCUGUAAAACAGAGACUUUUAAUAGUGCUUACCUCAUGGAUUAAAUGAGCUUAUAUCCACAAACUCUUAGAAUAAUACCAGGCACAUAAGUGUUUGUCAAAUAAAAUGAAUAACACGUACAUGGAUCUCUUGUGUGAAUGCUGGUCUCACAGGCUCAUAAACAAUUCUGAUGAGGUUGUCCCAUUGAGUCAAACUGUCAGGUCUGUGAUUUGAUUUUAUCCUACUUACAAGCCAACAAGUUAGCCUGUUACUGUUUCACAGAUGCUGGAAGAUGACACCAGACAUCUGAGUCAGAGAAAAAGAAGCUUUUAUCUCAAUGCACAGCAUAAAAAGCAUGAACAUCAGAAUGUUUGCAUCAAUUCCUCUUGCCUCCAAGUUCCACAGGAGUGAUGCGAAGGGGCCCGGAUAGAUGCCACACAUGCAGUGGGUUGUGUUGCAGCAAGGAAACAAUGAGCUUGGAGAACCCACUGCUUUUCUGGCAAGCAGCAAGCUCAGCCAGCUCUUUGUCCCAGAGGAGAUGAUACUUCAUCUCUCAAGAUUGCUUGCUGCAAACAAACCAUGAAAAAUGGCUUGGGUAAAGAGUGGUGUGGUGGAAAGCCUGGAAGAUGGCCCAUAAUGGUUCUUGCCUCUGGGUAUUCACUCUUUUGCAAAUCCCCUCCAGUUGACUGUGGGCUGGACUUACCGACUUACUUCUUACUAACUGAAUACAGCACAAGUGACAGGAUGUUGCUCCUGAGGUGAAGUUAUAAAAAGACUGUGGCUUCUGUCUUGGGCACCCUCUCAUGUUCUCUCACUCACUCACUCUGAGGGAAGACAGCUGUCACGUUGUGAGUUGCCUUAUGGAGAGACCAGCAUGGCAAGGAAAGGAUGUCUUUGGCCAACAGUCAGCAAGGACUUGAGGCCUGCUAACAGCCACAUAAGUGAGCUUGGAAGCAGAGUCUCCCCCAUUCAAGGCUGGACAUGACUGCAGCCCUGGCCUACACCUUAUUGCAGCCUUUUCAGAGACCCUGAGUCAGGGGCACCUGGCUAGGCUGCACUCAGCUUCCUAAUCCACAGAAACUGUCAGAAAAUAAAUGUUUAUUGUUUUAAACCUAUGCAGUUUUGGACUAAUCUGUUAUGCAGUAAUAGAUAAGUAAUACAAGUGGUCAGGCCUUGAAUUCUUGGCAUACUGAGCAAGACAUGCAGAGGCAUGAGAGACCCAUAGAUAACCAUUUCCCAACACCAGUGUAAAGCUACAACCCAGGGUAGGCAAUCCCAUCUUCCUUGAAGAGGGUUGACAUGCUUAAUGUCUAGCAUCUAGGAAAGAGGCAGAUACUGAGACAGGAGACUAGAAUUUCAAAGGAAGCCCUGAGCUGAAACCAGCUUUACCAAUCUUGGAGCUAGUUUUCCAAGAAUUUUCCUUGCUUGAGUACAUAAUGCAGGGUAGAAAAAAGUGGCUUCUGCUUUGUGCAUGCAGUAGGAAGCCAGGUAGGCAGGAAUCCUUUUACGGUGUCAAAUGUUGAAAUGCCUACACCACGUUCAGUGAACCAGAUUAUCUAGUUGUAUAUUACUGCCUGUACUCAGUUGCCUUCUGUUCAUCUGGACUCCUUUGUAAACUUUUGUUUAAAUAUUUCCCCGCCGCUUAUCUAUACCCUGGGGAAUUGAGUGAAACGCUUGAGCUACAAUAUUAAAGAAGAUACAGUGCCCCCUGGAGGCCAGAGUGGUAAUGCUCAGAGACCCCCAAGAGGCAGGAGAACCUGGGGGGACGGCAAGGCUCCUUAUAAAUGCUAAUGAAAUAUUUGAUAAAAUUAAAAACCUCUUUGAUUUAAAGCCUUUAAGAAAUUGUUAUGAAAAUUUGUAACUAUGUGUGGUGAUGGAUGUUAACUAGACUUAUUGUGGUGAUCAUUUCAUAAUAUAUACAAAUAUUGAAUCAUUAUGUUGUACCUGAAACUAAUAUAAUGUUAUGUGUUAAUUAUAUCUCAAUUUUUGAAAACUCAUUAAUUCUAAGUAACUAAAAAAUAAAAAUAAGGAAAGAAAG
rnacentral:lncRNA from 1 species